ACAGCUCCUGGAAGACACUGGCAAAUACGUCAAGGUUUGCUCUCUGGAGAUUUUCAGCGCAUCCUGUCCCAGAUUCUCAUUUGGUUAUUUGUCAACGACUGGUUUUCAUGUUGCCCAUGUGUGCACAAAUGCACAUGAAGGCAUGAAACACGUGAAG
rnacentral:lncRNA from 1 species